rnacentral:rRNA from 1 species
AACGAACGCUGGCGGCAUGCCUAACACAUGCAAGUCGAACGAGACCUUCGGGUCUAGUGGCGCACGGGUGCGUAACGCGUGGGAAUCUGCCCUCUGGUUCGGAAUAACUCAGGGAAACUUGAGCUAAUACCGGAUAAUGACUUCGGUCCAAAGAUUUAUCGCCUGAGGAUGAGCCCGCGUCGGAUUAGCUUGUUGGUGAGGUAAAAGCUCACCAAGGCGACGAUCCGUAGCUGGUCUGAGAGGAUGAUCAGCCACACUGGGACUGAGACACGGCCCAGACUCCUACGGGAGGCAGCAGUGGGGAAUAUUGGACAAUGGGCGAAAGCCUGAUCCAGCAAUGCCGCGUGAGUGAUGAAGGCCUUAGGGUUGUAAAGCUCUUUUACCCGGGAUGAUAAUGACAGCACCGGGAGAAUAAGCCCCGGCUAACUCCGUGCCAGCCGCCGCCGUAACAC